AAGAAACCAUGAAAGUGUCAUAAUGAAAGCGGUCUCUCAACAGAUACCUCCCAAAGAGACGUUUCAACAAUGCACACUUCAACAGUUCUGCUUCGGCGAAUUACCUUACAAUGAGCAUUAAAUUAGUUUUUAAGACUUUGAAUUUGGUAUUCUUUAACAUCAAGCUCCACCUGGGGCAGAAAAUCAAACCAAAAUCUUCAUGUUUCUUGGAGGAAGGUUAACAAGGAGGAAGUUUCAACAAGUUUCAGCAGUUGACCAGGCCUCAGGAAUUAACUCGAAUUAAUCUCAAACCUCCUGUGGCAAAAAACUGAAGACAGGAUAAUUUGUGCGAGCUGGGCUGUCUGCUGUCACUUCUCCGAGCCUCAGACUCUACUUCAUCGCAAGAGAUGCAGCUUUCUGUUCAGUGUGUGGACGACCAAGUGGGAUUAAAUGCAACGGUGGUUUACGGACAUCGUGAAUUCCCAAUGUCGAUGUUGCUGGAAAUGGAAGAUGACCAUGAAACCAGCGAUGGAGAAGAAAUCAUCACCAUUUAACAAAGUGUAAACUGUUACAACAGUACUACUGUAUGUAAUAGUAUAAUGCUACUGGUUUGCAUGGCAUUUGUGGAAAGAUUAUGAGAUUAUGAAUGACAGUAUUGUAUAACUCUGGAUUUAGUUUACCUUGGAAGUAGGAAGAUGAAAACCAAACGAUGUUUCCAAGCAACAUGCUAGCCGGGCCUAAGCUCUUUUGGGCAGUGGUACAGUAGCUGAUUGAAUUAAGGAGAAAAGGUUACUGAUCAGAAGGUUGUAGGUUCAAACCUCCCAGCUCCAGCAAGGUUGCCAGUGCUCGCCCCCAUUGAGCCAGGCCCUCAACUCAGUGUGCCUCAGAGGUACUGUAUCAU